rnacentral:rRNA from 1 species
CGAGUCUUGAGUUGAGUGAAAUGCUUGAUUCUUUAAGGACAAGUUGUGAUGGGGAGCGAAAUUAAGUAGGAAGUUCCUGAUGUUACACUGCCAAGAAAAGCUUCUAGUGAGAAAUAAACUACCCGUACCGUAAACCGACACAGGUGGUCGAGGAGAAUAUCCUAAGGUGAGCGAGUGAACUCUCGUUAAGGAACUCGGCAAAAUGACCCCGUAACUUCGGGAGAAGGGGUGCUGACCGUCAGGUCAGCCGCAGUGAAUAGGCCCAAACAACUGUUUAUCAAAAACACAGGUCUCUGCAAAAUCGAAAGAUGACGUAUAGGGGCUGACGCCUGCCCGGUGCUGGAAGGUUAAGAGGAUGAGUUAGCGUAAGCGAAGCCCAGAAUUGAAGCCCCAGUAAACGGCGGCCGUAACUAUAACGGUCCUAAGGUAGCGAAAUUCCUUGUCGGGUAAGUUCCGACCCGCACGAAAGGCGUAAUGAUUUGGGCACUGUCUCAACGAGAGACUCGGUGAAAUUAUAAUACCCGUGAAGAUGCGGGUUACCCGCGACAGGACGGAAGACCCCAUGGAGCUUUACUGUAGCUUGAUAUUGAGUGUUUGUACAGUUUGUACAGGAUAGGUAGGAGCCGUAGAAAUCGGAACGCUAGUUUCGAUGGAGGCGUUGGUGGGAUACUACCCUAACUGUAUGACCACUCUAACCCGCGCCACUUAGCGUGGCGGGAGACAGUGUCAGGUGGGCAGUUUGACUGGGGCGGUCGCCUCCUAAAGUGUAACGGAGGCGCUCAAAGGUUCUCUCAGAAUGGUUGGAAAUCAUUCGUAGAGUGUAAAGGUAUAAGAGAGCUUGACUGUGAGAUUGACAAAUCGAGCAGGGACGAAAGUCGGACUUAGUGAUCCGGUGGUUCCGUAUGGAAGGGCCAUCGCUCAACGGAUAAAAGCUACCCUGGGGAUAACAGGCUUAUCUCCCCCAAGAGUCCACAUCGACGGGGAGGUUUGGCACCUCGAUGUCGGCUCAUCGCAUCCUGGGGCUGUAGUCGGUCCCAAGGGUUGGGCUGUUCGCCCAUUAAAGCGGUACGCGAGCUGGGUUCAGAACGUCGUGAGACAGUUCGGUCCCUAUCCGUCGCGGGCGCAGGAAAUUUGAGAGGAGCUGUCCUUAGUACGAGAGGACCGGGAUGGACAUACCUCUGGUGUACCAGUUGUGCCGCCAGGCGCAUCGCUGGGUAGCUAUGUAUGGACGGGAUAAACGCUGAAAGCAUCUAAGUGUGAAGCCCCCCUCGAGAUGAGAUUUCCCAUUCCUUUAUGGAAGUAAGACCCCUGAAAGAUGAUCAGGUAGAUAGGCUAGGAGUGGAAGUACAGCGAUGUAUGGAGCGGACUAGUACUAAUCGGUCGAGGACUUAACCU